rnacentral:rRNA from 1 species
CCUACGGGAGGCUGCAGUGGGGGAUAUUGCACAAUGGGGGGAACCCUGAUGCAGCGACGCCGCGUGGGUGAAGAAGCGCCUCGGCGCGUAAAGCCCUGUCAGCAGGGAAGAAAAUGACGGUACCUGAAGAAGAAGCCCCGGCUAACUACGUGCCAGCAGCCGCGGUAAUACGUAGGGGGCAAGCGUUAUCCGGAUUUACUGGGUGAAAAGGGGGCGCAGAGGGCGAUGCAAGCCAGGAGUGAAAGCCCGGGGCCCAACCCCGGGAGUGCGCGUGGAACGGCGUGGCUGGAGGACAGGAGGGGCAGGCGGAAUUCCUGGUAGAGCGGUGAAAUGCGUAGAUA